AAGUCGUAACAAGGUCUCCGUUGGUGAACCAGCGGAGGGAUCAUUACCGAGUUUACAACUCCCAAACCCCUGUGAACAUACCUUACUGUUGCCUCGGCGGAUCAGCCCGCUCCCGGUAAAACGGGACGGCCCGCCAGAGGACCCCUAAACUCUGUUUCUAUAUGUAACUUCUGAGUAAAACCAUAAAUAAAUCAAAACUUUCAACAACGGAUCUCUUGGUUCUGGCAUCGAUGAAGAACGCAGCAAAAUGCGAUAAGUAAUGUGAAUUGCAGAAUUCAGUGAAUCAUCGAAUCUUUGAACGCACAUUGCGCCCGCCAGUAUUCUGGCGGGCAUGCCUGUUCGAGCGUCAUUUCAACCCUCAAGCCCUCGGGUUUGGUGUUGGGGAUCGGCGAGCCUUUCUGGCAAGCCGGCCCCGAAAUCUAGUGGCGGUCUCGCUGCAGCCUCCAUUGCGUAGUAGUAAAACCCUCGCAACUGGAACGCGGCGCGGCCAAGCCGUUAAACCCCCAACUUCUGAAUGUUGACCUCGGAUCAGGUAGGAAUACCCGCUGAACUUAA
rnacentral:misc_RNA from 1 species